GUGGCAAAACUAUGUCUCCAAUAACCACUGCUACAUCUGCUAGUGUUAGCGUUGGUUUCGGCGUAUUGGUAUUUUUGAGCUGGCUUCUAAUUAGCCAUUUGAGCUUUUUUAUAUACUUAGGCCUCAAGGCGGCUUCUAGGACUGACUGUUCCAUUUCUAACUACCUUAAUGUCUGUUCCCAGUCAGGGUCACCAGAGGUUUCUCCUAUCAACAGCAAUUUCUGUUUGUCUUGGCUUAACUUGUACAUUUUCCUUCUUGCGUCAGACAGGGCCGCUUUAAGGCAUAUUCUUUUGGUAUUGUCAGUAUUUUCCUAGAUCUAAC
rnacentral:lncRNA from 1 species